ensembl:lncRNA
UGGGCAGUUCGUCAGGGGGUCUUGAGGAGGACAAGGAGGUCGCCUCGCAAGCUGUACUGUUCUUCAUCAAUGGUUCGAGGAGAGGUGCAGUGCACCUGUGCUCGAGUAUAGCCGAGAUACUGCGCGAGAAUCAACGGUGAGAACCAUAGGCUUGUUGUAUCAAACAAAUUCCCACUGUCACAUGCCUGAUUCACACCAGUUUUCAGCUGCCUCCUCCAUGAGAAAGUUAACCAUUUACUGUUUCGGUUGAGUUUGUCUGACCUUUGCUUAACUCUGCUGUGUGUGUGUGUGUGCGCCUCCUCUCAUAUCUUAGUCUGCACAGGACCGUAGAGGUCCAAAGGGCCCGAAUAGAGGAGCUGAUGUGCUCUCUGUCCACUGCUCCGGCUGCUCCCGUGGGUCCCUUAGAUUCCAACAGAUCCCAGACCAACUCCACCUCUCCCUUCUCCUGCCUCCCCUCCGUCUCUCUCGCCGCCUCCUCCCCCUACCUCCCCUCUCCCCCAGCCAGUGUCUCCCCCAGUGUGUCCUCCAUAUACAGCUCUGGGAGGGGCAGCCUGUGCUCUAACACCACACCCCCCUGCCUCCCCCCUCUAUCCUUUAGCACCACACCCCCCUGCCUCCCUCCUCUGGUCCCCCUUCACAACCUCACCCCUCAGAGGAGACAGACAGCAGUUCUGCCCUGUGUGAAAGAGUAUGAGAAGGAGGAUCCAGGAGAAAAGGAGAGGAGAGGAAAGGAAGGCAGGAGAGGAGAUGAGAGGGUGAAGAAGAGAGGGGGAGAAAAGAGACAAGAAGACAACAGACUUACUCUACCCUCUGUAGAAGAAGAUCUGGGAUCACAACCCUUACCCAUCAUGCCUCACUCCUCCCAUAGUGACAGCAAUCCCAGAGAAAGAGUCAGGAGGAGGGAGAAGGGCAACCUGUCGUCUGAGCAGGGUGGACAGACAUCAGACCGAAAACACACGCUGAAGGCUGGACCUCAUUAUCAUACUUCACAAUGGACACAUGAGGAUGUCACAGCCUUUAUGAUGAGCUGUUUUUGUGGUAGUUUGUUUUUUGUCAUUGAUAUUGUUGUUGUUUGUGAGCAGAAAAGAGAGAAUGUCCUAAGGAGAAGUGCCUCAUGUGGACCUCUGAGGGGAGCGAUGGAGGAGACAAAAGAGGAGGAGAGGUGGUGUCUGGCCCCAGACUGUCCUGACUCCUCGUCCACAGUCCAAGCAGCAGGAGGGCUGGACCCCAGGGCAUUAACCACCAGGAAGAAGCACCGCCUGUGUGUGAAUGACCGUGUAGUGCUGGAGAGGAGGAGGAGAGGAGAGGAGAGGAGAAGAGGAGCUGUGAGGUUCAUCGGACCACUGGAAAACACUGAGUCUACAGACAUCUAUAUCGGAGUGGAAUUGGACACAGCCAGUGAGUUUGUGUGUGUGUGUGUGCAGUGUGUGUGUUUAGGGUGUGUGUGAAUAUCUGGCAUUCUCAUCACCAUGACAACUGUGACAGUAACACCAAAGAUACUGGUAAAUAAGGCCUGGAUUCAAUCAGAUCGAGCAUUAACCAGCAUUGGUCGACAUCCGCAUAGCAGAUGUUUUGGCGGUGUUGGAGGUGUAACUGUGGUAUGAGCUGAAAUAUAGGUGAGCGGCUGCUCUUGUCUGUCACAAACCACCCCCUUAUUAUCCCUACUGCGUUCGUUCAAAACAGUGCUAGAAAGUUUAGGCUCUAUCGAUGUUAGAAAUAAUUAUUCUCAAAUAUCAAACCAUUGAUGUUAGGCAACUGCAUGUUUUCAUGCACCCUAGACACACUGCAAUUUGCAUACCGCCUCAAUAGAUCCACAGACGAUGCAAUCGCCAUCACACUGCACACUGCCUUUUCCCAUCUGGACAAGAGGCAUAACUAUGGAAGAAGGUCAAGGUAUCACAAAGCCCUGACCUCAAUCCUAUAGAAAAUGUGUUGGCAGAACUGAAAGUGCGUGCGAGCAAGGAGGCCUACAAACCUGACUCAGUUACACCAGCUCUGUCAGGAGGAAUGGGCCAAAAUUCACCAACUUAUUGUGGGAAGCUUGUGGAAGGCUACCCAAAACGUUUGACCCAAGUGAAACAAUUUAAAGGCAAUGCUACCAAAUACUAAUUGUGUGUAUGUAAACGUCUGACCCACUGGGAAUGUGAUGAAAGAAAUAAAAUAUGAAAU